GUUUGUCACUGCGUAGUUGGGAAAAGUGGGGAAUGGUGACGCAGUCACUGUUGCAUCUUGCUAGGAGCUCUGUGGGGACAGGUAGUGAGGCUCCCGGGGUCUGUGGGGCCAGCUGAGAGGGGUCAAGGAUGAGCCGAGAAGGGAAGCUAGCAUUUAGAGAUUAAAUGUCAUCCUUUUGGCGUUGGAAAGUUGUUUACCUUGCGCUCUCUGUGUCUCCAUAUUGGCUCCCUUCCAGUUCACAUGUGAUGGCCUUCCCUGUACUGCUGCAUCAUUAACUAAGUGACUGAGCUGGCCUUCCAUUGGCCAGGGGAGGGCUCUCACUCCAGACACUUCCUCUGAUUGGUGGGUGGGCCAAUGGCAGGUGAAAAGCUUUUUAUGAUUGGCUGAGGGCAGGGUAUCAAAUCUGAAUUUGCAUUUCACUUGCUUAAAGGGGAGGGGGGAGAAGCCCAGCAGCUUUCUAAAAUCUCUUCAGGGGUGUGCGUAGGCUCGUGUGUCUGCCUGCUUUUGACUGCCCAGUCGAAGCUUCUUCCUGUGCCUUUUAAAAUUUCAUAGACUAUAGGGAAGAAUAUCUCAGGUCUCCCCAAACUUUCUUUUUUGGAGGGAGGAAGGUUGGGGAGAUGGAUGUGCAGAAGGUUGACCAAAUUGGAAAAAAAAAUAUUUGUCCUUUAGUUUGGUGUUAGAAAAGGGAAUUUUCCAAUCAGCCACACCUCAGUGUUGCGGCAAAAUAAUUCUUGGCUCCCCUGGAAACGCUUGGGCAAGGUAGGGCAGAGCUGCUGCUGCUGCUAUUGCCACCACCCUGGGCUUCCUGCUGACUCUGGGCUACUCCCCGGGGACAAGAGAUUUGCAUUGACGUCUGGGGCAGUCCAAAGAUCCUCAAGAGCCAGUCCUGAGCUGAGACCACUAUGGGAAGACCUGCCUUUUGGAAGCUGCUGCUACCUGGUGCUUGGAAAGGUGAGAACGGGGACAGACCCCAGGAAAUUGCUCAGAAACUGCGUAUUUUGUGGGAUUUCCCCCAAAGUCACAGGGCAAUGAGAGGUUUCAAGGUGCUGGGUUGGAAUGGUUCGUCAGCCUGGGGAACCUGGAGAGAGAGUAAAACUGGGGCAUCAGGCUAUUCGCCUCGUGGGGGAGGUAGGCUGGAAAAAAACGGGGUCCUGACUCUUCAUCCUGAACUUGUGGACUGCCUCACAUUUGUGGGGAGGGGGCUUCCAAAGCCCUGCGCCAUGCGCAGCGGCGCCCACCCAUGACUGCGCAUGUGGGAGCGCAAUGCGCCCUGGGUCUCUGGCCUACGUCGAGCACCGCCCUCCCUGUUACAUAACGGAGGGCACAGACUGUGCCUUCUCGGCCCUUCCUUGCAACCCUACCUCCUCGCUCCCCAGGGCCCACAGAGCCAGGGAGGAGGGUCUGAUUGGGGAGCAGUGGAAGAUUUCAUUCCCUGGGAGGGCCAGGUCUUACCCAGUUAGGGAUGGGGCUAGGUUUGAGGACAGCAAUGGUUUGCUGUCCCAUCUUGGGGCAUGGCCGCAGAAUGUCCUUCUGAAUGCCCUGUAUCACCUAUGGCCUCCAGGGCCUCCCGAGGGUGGAGGAGGGUGGCACCCUUCUUCCCCUGUCUCCGAUUUUGUGGAGGAAGUUUCUGAAGAAGAUGUGUCAAUUGUGAUCAUAAGGGGAGGUGUGGAGGCCUAUUGGGAGGUGGUUGACAGUUCCCUCCUCUUGUCACUGGCUCCCCACUCCCUGGUGGACUCCGUUAUGGAUGCCUUUGGUCGGCUGCCAUUUUGGAAGCAUCUCUGCUGGUCUCUGACAUGGUGGCUGGUGGCGUUGGUUUUUCUGGUCCCGCUGUGCCAAUUCCGCAGGGUGGGCGGGGACCGGGGCUAUGACAGGGUGGGGGGGUGUGAAGUCUCAGCAGGGGCGGGCACAGUGUUGGCUGCCGCAGUGAAGAUGGCCCCAGGGGCAGAAAUGGCCAGUCCCACCCCCAGACAGAACCUUGGGUGGGGGUUCAAGUGGUAGCCCUCUGGGUAGGGGGUUCCACGACCUGGGGCCUCAGUUUUGCCAGAGCAUGGGCAUUGGGGAAACCCAAUGCCCUCAUCAGCUGGAGGCUUAAAAGCAGCUUGGGGGAAGAGCCGAGUGUUGGGAGAAGAGUGGGGGCAGAGACUCGGCAACUCAUCUCAGACGUGUCAGACCUGUGGUUUGUGUUACCCAAAUAGGUUCUGUCUCCGUCACCCUCUCCAUGGGGACAGGCUGUGAGGUCCAUGGCAGCCUGCAGGAUUUAUUCAGAUGGCUCUGACUUUCUACUGUUUCCCUUCCCUGUUUCCCCUCCAUGCCCCCUGCCAGUUCCAUGGUUCCAGCUGCUGUCUUCCAGUGAGGCUCCCUGCUGCCUGUCCCUCUCCUUUCCAGGCCCUUCUGCGUGCAGCGGCCAUCUUGUUUUUCUUGCUCAGAAAUUUAAAAUGGUUUCUCGGCAUUCCCAGGGUGAAAUUCCUUCCCUUUCACAUGAUGCUCUGGGCUGUCUGUAACUGGCCUUAGCUGUCCUAUGCAGUCUCACUGCUCUCAAUUUCCCAAGGAGGACUACGAAUCCCAUAAAGCCAGGUGACUCACGUUUUCUUGCUUUUCCCCUCUCCCUGUUUUCACUAGUUAUUUUCCAGCUUCCUCUCACCACAUCCACCUGUGGCAGCUCCACUGUCUCCGAAGAGCUGUCCUGAUCACCCUCUCAAGAAGUGGCCCUUAUAACCACCCCUGCCACUUCGGCAAAAUCCCCUUGCGCCUAGCUCCUCUUUAUGGUACCUUUGUUGCACUCUGGUUCCUUAUGAGAAGUCUUAGGUCACCUAUUAGGAUAUGAGCUCUCAGAGGGAGGCUGGGAAAAAUAGGAAGAAAACAGAUAUCUACCUGGCACCCACUUUUGCCAGAUUGAACACGUUAGGUUCUUUUCGGGCAAUUAUGUCAUUUAUUUUUUACCAUAACCCUGCAAGGAGAGGAGAGCCCAUGGCUGGCAAGUGGUGUGGUCGUGGUCAGACGAGCCCUCAACUUCAUUUUUUUUCCUCUCUGAAUUCCUGAGAUCCCUUUUAGGAGGUGAAUCCCACAAAGGUGGCUAUUUAAGGCAUGCCGUAGGUCUCUAAGGCUGUGUGGGAGUUUGGGUGGCUGAUCUUCUUGUGCUCAUGAUCCGGGUCACUUAGCUGUGCCAUGCCUUCCUUAUUAACUUCCUCCUUUUCCUUUGUGGCCAGGUUCACUCAAUAUGAUGGUUUUUCUGUAGCCGAAAUUGAUGGUUUGACAAGCCAGUCCUGACUGCCUUCCUCCUGGAAGAGGAGGCAGAGGCUGGGUGGGUGAUAGCAUCUUCAGUGAAGGAUGGGGCCCCAGGCAGUCAAGGCAGGAGCAAAACCAUUGGGCUGGACACACUUAGGUUUGCAUCUCCAUCCUGGCUUCUCAGCUGGGUGAUUUUAGACGAGUCAUUUAAUUAUUUUUUUCAAGUUGUAGUGUUCUCAGUCUGUAAGGCAUAGCUAUGACAGCGUGUUAUAGAGAAAUACCUAGCACGGUGCCAGGCUCCUAGCAAUAAACAUGUCGCUCCUCGACCCCGUCCCAUCCAGUGGUUUUAUCAGGGACUUAAAACAUGCACAUAGCAGGUGACUGGAGAAGGAGGGAGUUUGUGUCCCUCUGUGAUGUCAUAAGCAGGGGCAGAGAGGAGGUUACCUGGCAGUACAAACCUAAGCCUUCAAGGUGAGGAAAUGCCCCUAGAGGAAAUGCCCCUUGGCUUUUGUAGCAAGAGCGUGCAGCGGGCACCGAGCAGUGAGGACUGGUGAUGGCAGAGUGAGGGUUAAGUAAUGAGCCUUCCUGGGAGCCUUUUGAUGCCAGGUUCGUUUCCCUUCUUUCCGAAUCUCAGCAGUGGCUGCCUGCUUCCUGACUCUGUUGAGUCCCGUGGGAGGGGAGCUGGGCACCCUGAUGCCCCUCGUCACCAGUUCCGGGGCUGCAGAGCAGAGAGUGACGACAGCCAGUGAUUCGUCUGUCGACGGCAAUGGGGCCCUGGUGACGGCUGCUUUGUUGUUUUUUUCCUCUCUGGAAGAUGACUCAGUGUAUCAGGAGCCGGGAGAUGGAGCUCUCAGCUGAGUGGCCAGAAUGUUCUGUCAACAUGAAAGCAGCAGAAACAGCUCAUUGGGGCUCGGAGCCGAUCCCUAGCCUGGGGUCAUUUUCAGGGAGGGCUGAUGAGAGAAGAAGGCCACUGCCAGGCAUGAGGAUGGGGGCGAUACCAGGUAACUCAACAAGCUCUGUGACCCUUGAAUUUUUAGAGCUUGAGAAAGAAAUUCAGCUAAUGGUGUUAUUCAGUGAGCUGGGAAUGAGGGUCAUUUUUUUGAGCUCUUCUCACUGGUCCCAAAUGACGGAUACCUUCUCAGGACCAGAAAACCCUUUGGGAUUUCUCACUGAGGCUGUGUCUGUAAUGGGCUCGGUGGUCAUUGUGGUGGAUAAAGGGCAGUUCCCUUGUUGGGGCAGGGGCUGGCCAGGGCAGCCUCAGUGAACUGUGGCACUCUGGACCCCAGGAGCAGGUAUCCCAGGGGCGAUGUGGUACCUUAGGAGGCCUCUGCAGCCCGUUGCAAAGAUGGUGGGUCCACCUUCCCACCUUCAGCAAAAGGCAGCUCGGGCACUCUGUGUCAGCUCAUCUUUCCUUAUUGUCCCACGUCACAGCUUAUCUUCUUCCUUCAUCUUCCUUAUUUCCUCUGAGAUGAAAUAGUAGACCUUGAGUUCCUGACCUUUUCUUUUUUUCUUCCUUUCUUUUCUUUAUUUUCGCGCCAUGGCGGCUCAGGGUUCUAGGCUUUUCUUGAUUCUGCAGCAUUGCGCCAUAAGCGCGUGAUCCCCCCCCCCCCCCCCCCCCCCCCCCCCCCCGCCCGCUCGCCCGCCAUGCCUUCUUGGGAACAAGAGACAAGAUGCACCUUCACGGCCACUGAAUCCUGGCCAGACCAUUAUCCCCUUUCUGUCCUCUGCCACCUUCAACCAGCCUAGGGGCAGAGGAGCAGAUAACUGGGGUUUGAGACUGAGGGACGGACAUCCUGGCCUGGAGCUCCCUCCUUCCUUUUUCCUAUGCCAUUUUUCAGUCUCAUGCUUUCUCAUGGCUGAUACUAGUGCUGACAUUUGUCGCAGAAUACCUUCUCUCCCCGAGGACCUUCCAGGGUGACUCAUUUGAGAUCUCAGGCGAGUGGCUACUGAGCCUCGAGAGCCACCAGGAGCGGGGAAACAUGACUGAGCUCACAUCAGAGCUGGGCAGCGGUUGGGGGCCGGCCAUCCCCCCACCCGGAGUGCAAAGGUGGCCACAAGCCCCCUUGCACCAUGUCUUCUUGUGCCUGAGUAGAGCACAUCUUGACCCAAAAGGACUGUGUGUACGUGGGAGUUGGAACCUUAUGCAUCUCAUAUUUCUGUGUCCUGAGCUGCGCACAUGAUAAGGCCCUGGAUUCUGUGCUUCAGAGAUCUCUGUUGCCUUUCAGGUCCAUUUUCUCAAGCAGGUGAUGGGAGGGCCUCCUAGGUCAGACUCUGCCAUGCCCACUGGUACUGGCCUUUCUCUAAGAUGACGGACCCAUGUCAUUUUGUCCAUUGUUGUCUUGUUUUUGUCAUGAAACGGUGGCCAACAGCUGAGGACCAUGGUCCUAAGGGCCACAUACAAACCCCAGAUAGGACUCUAGUUGGGAUCUCUACAGUUCAUUGCUGGAUUGGCCCUGCAAGCUGAGUCAGCCUGCCUACCUUUGUCUACUUUCCCACAGAGAAUUCAGGAGAGUGCAGCUUGGCUUGUGAGCUGGUGACAACCUCUUGGUGACUGGCUCAGCUGAGGAUGGUGCUGGUGUUCCCAGGACAGCAUCAUACUGCUGGGUGGCUCGCUUGCAUUUUAUUUGGAGCACACGUACACACACAUGAAGCCUGGCAGUCCUGCUCUCUGUGGUAAGUAUUGCUGUAAUUUUUUUUUUACAUUCUUUUAUUUCUUUGAACAUUGCAAGUGGAUAGGUGUUUAUUGAGCCCAGCCAGCUGCUCUACCUUCUUCAUUCUUUUCCUGCGCACCCCCACCCUUAGUCCUCUAGAAGAGAGGACCAGAUUUUUUCUAGUGCUACUAGAGACCUGCAGAGAUCCCGGAAUGUGCUGUUCAGCCUCCACACAUCCCCCUCACAUUUGGGAGAAGUCAAUUUUCCCUAAAAUGGAGCCAACAGCCUUUGUCCUCUGCGCAGAAUGUUAAUGGGCUGCAUGGAAGGACCCUGAGUGUCCUCACUGCCCCUGGCUGAGAGGUGAGGCUCCUGAUUGGCUGGCUGCAGGAGGAUGGCCCUUGCCAGCACCUAGCAUGGUUCUCUGCCAAGUUCUAGCUCCAAAUCUCAGGCUGGUAGGAACCUAGACUAUAUAUAGCAUUGUGCUAAGCAGUUCUUAUCAGACGUGUCUGCCCUCCCCUGCGGGAGAGGAGCACUUCUAUCGGAGAACUGGAACAUAGAGAGUGUGGGCCAUCUCCAAGGGCCUUUUAUUCCAGGAAGGUGUGUGUGCGCGCGUAUCUGCCUCGGGUCCAGGGCUGCCAAGCUUACUCUCCUUUCCCCUGUUUUAGAUGCUGAUGGAAUCAAAGGUCAUGCCCGAUGAGAGUGCUAAUGUGGGAUAAGGGCCAGGAGGGGCUGGUACUUCUCUGGUGGAUGCCGGGCUUGGAGGAGAGGCUUGGGGUGGAGGGAUGACGUGGCUGAAGGCAGCAUGCCCUGCGUCAACGACCAGCCUCCGGCUUCUCCUCUUGGUAUCCUGUUUGCCUUGCUUUGCCCAAGGAUGUCUUUUGACCUCUCUCUUCCUUUUCUUGGACCUCCUGCCUUCCUCCACCCCUUCCUCCUCCUUCCUAUGAUUUUCCUCGGACAUAUAAGACCACACUUGCCUCCCUUCCCCGGAGCCGUGUCUGCUGUCUGCUCUCGUUCCCAUACCCACUCAGUCACGGGGAGUGGGGUCUGCCGUACUCAGGGGGUAGCUGCGUGGCGAAUGAGCAUGUCUUGCUGGGUGACUUAGGGCAGGGUGGGUAGGAUAGUCUCCUCUUUCCUCUCAUAGAUGCUGUCGAGCCACAAGUGUGACCAAUGUGACAUGAUCCCAGUCUUGUCAGGGAGUCACCACCAGACUGCUCUUGGAAACCAGAAACAGCAAGGAAAACAGGAUCUAACCCCAUGCCAGCCUUCCAGGUAAGUCAGGUUGACUGCUCCCGGGCCUUCCCCUGACCUCCUUCCCUUCCCAUGAAGACCAUUUUCCCUAUUCAGUGGGGGGGAUCCUCAGAUGUCUCCAUUCAGACUCUCUUAAACAAUUGCUCUCUUCUAUUUUCCUCCGCCUGCCUUUUCUGUGAAUGAGGUUAGUAACCAGCAAGGGGCUGGGGGAAGCUGAAGUGACCCGGGUGCUAGAUCUGUGGGAGGUAGCUGGGUAGCAUUUCUGGGUGUGGUGGUGGCAGAGCAGUCAGGGCUUCCAUAGUAAGUGGACAGAAACCACUCUUGGCCCUCUGACGUCCCAUGUGAGAGUUGGGGUUUGAUCCCUCAUUGGCUCUAGAACUACAGGGACCUUGGACUUGCUUUCCCCUGUCAUCUGAGUGGGUGACCUUAGCCUUGACGGGCUUAGUCCAGGGCUGGUCUGGAGUGUAGACCAGCCUGAGCAGUGGGCUUCAGGGCUCUUCCCUUACUUUUGGGGUUCCCUUUGAAUGGAUCACUUUUUUCUUCUAGGCCUUUUCUCCGCCUUGCUGUUGCUGGCCACAGCACUAGCAAUAGUGAUGGAAAGUGAUGACCGCCUGCAGAACAGGAGGGCGGUCACAUACAGAGAGUGCCAAGAGCCGACUGUAGGUGCUUUCCCUGUCACCAGGAAGGGUUUACUGUAGGGUUCUUGUCCAGCUAGAGCUAUCUAAGAGCAGGUUUGUCUGGGGUCUAAAGAUAAAAGGAAUGGUGCUGCGUAAUUUUAUGAGGCACCCAUGGGCUCCCAUCCCUGUCACCUCUCUCUGCUUGGUCUUAAGAGUGUGAGUGCCUCCCUCUCUCUGCACCACUCCCACCACCUUCCAGGGAAGGCUGGUGAAGGCUGGUGAAUCCUCACAGUGCUUCAUCUUCUGUCCUCCCCCUUGAGACAAAUCUCUGAGUUAACUGUGAGCAGCCUGAGACCUUCCCCAAGCGAGGGCUCUCAGUCUCUUCCUUCAAAGAAUUUGACAAGUUCAGCAGCGUUGUGAGAUGACUGGGUGUGUUGGGGCUGGAGCACAAGUGAAGAGGCUCUGUGCAGCCAGGGAGGAGAGGCGGGUGAGCUAGUCCCUCAAGAUGUGUAGUUUAGAGUCUGACUAGCGUUGGCUGUAAGACUGGGGCCAGACAUACCUGCUGGCUGUGCUUGGGAGACUCUGCUUGCACAUGCGCAGCGUGUCCCCAGGCCUGGCUCUGGGUGACCUCUGCCCCCUCACAGCCCUGCCCUUGCUUGACUGGGAAAACCAGGGUUGGUUUUGCUCCGGUUGUUGUCUUGGUGAAUUGGGGUCGGUGCUUCCCAGCUCAUUUUCNCUACUAGAGACCUGCAGAGAUCCCGGAAUGUGCUGUUCAGCCUCCACACAUCCCCCUCACAUUUGGGAGAAGUCAAUUUUCCCUAAAAUGGAGCCAACAGCCUUUGUCCUCUGCGCAGAAUGUUAAUGGGCUGCAUGGAAGGACCCUGAGUGUCCUCACUGCCCCUGGCUGAGAGGUGAGGCUCCUGAUUGGCUGGCUGCAGGAGGAUGGCCCUUGCCAGCACCUAGCAUGGUUCUCUGCCAAGUUCUAGCUCCAAAUCUCAGGCUGGUAGGAACCUAGACUAUAUAUAGCAUUGUGCUAAGCAGUUCUUAUCAGACGUGUCUGCCCUCCCCUGCGGGAGAGGAGCACUUCUAUCGGAGAACUGGAACAUAGAGAGUGUGGGCCAUCUCCAAGGGCCUUUUAUUCCAGGAAGGUGUGUGUGCGCGCGUAUCUGCCUCGGGUCCAGGGCUGCCAAGCUUACUCUCCUUUCCCCUGUUUUAGAUGCUGAUGGAAUCAAAGGUCAUGCCCGAUGAGAGUGCUAAUGUGGGAUAAGGGCCAGGAGGGGCUGGUACUUCUCUGGUGGAUGCCGGGCUUGGAGGAGAGGCUUGGGGUGGAGGGAUGACGUGGCUGAAGGCAGCAUGCCCUGCGUCAACGACCAGCCUCCGGCUUCUCCUCUUGGUAUCCUGUUUGCCUUGCUUUGCCCAAGGAUGUCUUUUGACCUCUCUCUUCCUUUUCUUGGACCUCCUGCCUUCCUCCACCCCUUCCUCCUCCUUCCUAUGAUUUUCCUCGGACAUAUAAGACCACACUUGCCUCCCUUCCCCGGAGCCGUGUCUGCUGUCUGCUCUCGUUCCCAUACCCACUCAGUCACGGGGAGUGGGGUCUGCCGUACUCAGGGGGUAGCUGCGUGGCGAAUGAGCAUGUCUUGCUGGGUGACUUAGGGCAGGGUGGGUAGGAUAGUCUCCUCUUUCCUCUCAUAGAUGCUGUCGAGCCACAAGUGUGACCAAUGUGACAUGAUCCCAGUCUUGUCAGGGAGUCACCACCAGACUGCUCUUGGAAACCAGAAACAGCAAGGAAAACAGGAUCUAACCCCAUGCCAGCCUUCCAGGUAAGUCAGGUUGACUGCUCCCGGGCCUUCCCCUGACCUCCUUCCCUUCCCAUGAAGACCAUUUUCCCUAUUCAGUGGGGGGGAUCCUCAGAUGUCUCCAUUCAGACUCUCUUAAACAAUUGCUCUCUUCUAUUUUCCUCCGCCUGCCUUUUCUGUGAAUGAGGUUAGUAACC
rnacentral:lncRNA from 1 species